GCCUGCGUAGCAGGCGUUUAGUGCGGGCAGGAGAAGAUCUCUUCUCCCGCCAGCACUAAACGCCUGCUACGCAGGC